UAUUAGGCUUGGUGUUUUGUUUUAAUCCCGCGUGGCUGCAUCCGGGCAUCUGCCGCGCCGUCCGGUGGAGCGGAGCCCCAAGUCCCGGACGCGUCGCUCCCGAAUCGAGAGUUGUUGUUUUUCUAAAAGGAGAACAAGAAGAGAAGAAGAGGCAUCACAGCACCCAUGCUUCUGCCAGAGUUCAAGUAUUCCCGUGUGGUGGACUGCGGCUGGAAGCUGCGUCUUCCCAAGGCAAAGCAAGUCCAUUCCAGGUGGAUACCAGAAGAGCUGAAGUCCAUGAACAUGAUAAUGUGAUAAGCCUUUCUAUGGCCAGAAAGGCUUCCAUUAUGAUGAGCGAUUAGAUAUUUAUUUGACAGAUGACCUGAUUUCUAUUUUUCCUACAUAGGACCUUGUGACAAAUAUUUUAUUUACAAAUUGUUCCUUUGGCACAACUCCACAUGUUUUGUUUUGUUUUUUCUCCUUCACCCUGAGUCCUUUAUCUAUUCAUUUAUAAUGAACUGAUAUUUUAAUAUUUCUUUUCUUACAUACCACAGAUGAUUUUGAUGUUGAGUUUAAGGUAAAGAACAAGCAAUAUAAAUAAGAAAAGGCAAUGCCUCGUAUGUAUUUUUUUAGAAAAGCUCUAACUUCAUCAUGAUUUAAAUAUUUCAUCAAACCAACAAUUAAUUAAAGGUUCCACCUUCAUCAGUUAAUAUGUAAAAUUUAUAAUCUACUAAAAAAACCAAAUAAUCAAAUUUCUCAAAUCCCCCAGAUCAGUUUUUGUCACAAUGUUUCUCAUCUCAGAAGAGUCAGUAGUUCGAGUUCACAAAGAGGUUACAUUCAGAUUGUUAUUUUCCCAUUCAUCUCUGUGCCUCUGCUUCUAAAAACUUGUUUCACCCACAGGAAUUCUUUGGUCUUAUUAAUGUUUAUCUUAAUCUCCCAACACAGCCCGAGAGUCAUAUAUAGCCUCCUUUUCUGCCACUGCCUGCUUCUACUCAUAAAAUAAAAUAAAAUAAAAUAAAAUAAAAUAAAACCCUGACAUCAUGUCUUGCCAUUAUUCCUCUUUUUGGUGUUCUGUAACUGCUUAAUUUUAGUAUUUUUCCUAAGCAAGCAAAGUCAAUUAAAAAAAAUUGCAACCAAGUGACUUUGAGAAAGGUGUGUGAAAGGUAUAGUGCAAAUAACACUCAUAUAUAAAUAGUCCCUUUCUAUAGUUACUGUUAUCUUAAAUUGAUAUGUAACUUCUGAGAUGUUAUCAUUAAAAUCUGAGCAAAUUUGUAAAUAUAAUAUCUUUGGGUAUUUGCAUUAUUUUAUAACACUAUAACACUUUUCUUAUUCAGUUAACAGUAGUGUUGACAAAGCCUGAAGGAGCUUGUUUUGAGGGUUCCCAGAUUCUCUAGGUCAGAGGCAACUAAAGAUAAAAAUUCCCCAUUUGGGGAUGAUCUCACUCUCAGGCAGAAGUUGAAAAACAAGAUCAGAAGAGAAAACACAAGUAGAACCUGGACUGGAGUUGGUGUAUUGCACCAAACCAAAAGACUCUGGGGUGGGUGGGGGGGAAGAGUACAGGUCCAAAAAGGAUGACAAAGGACCUAGUGGGGGUUGUAUUGUUGUGUGGAAAACUGAGAAAUGUUAUGCAUGUACAAACUAUUGUAUUUACUGUCAAAUGUAAAACAUUAAUCCCCCAAUAAAGAAAUAAAAAAAAAUCCCCAUUUGUUGUUCUUAGAAACCACCAAGAAGAUGCUGGGCUUUAAUUUUUGACCCAUAUGUACUUACAACUGUGUUUAACACCAGCAGAUAAAAUUGAAAUGGGUGCUAUCAUGAUCCCAACCAUACUUCCCGGGACAGACAACCCCACCAAUGUGUCUUGGACCCUGGCGUCCCCAGAGCCCCUCCCCACUAGAGAAAGAGAGAGGCAGGCCAGUAGUAUGGAUCGACCUGCCAAUGCCCAUGUUUAGCGGGGAAGUAAUUACAGAAGCCAGACCUUCCACCUUCUGUACCCCAUAAUGACCCUGGGUCCAUACUCCCAGAGGGAUAAAGAAUAGGAAAGCUAUCAGGGGAGGGGAUGGGAUACAGAGUUCUGGUGGUGGGAA